rnacentral:rRNA from 1 species
AUGGCCGCCUCCCUCCUUUGCACCUGGCCUCGGCUGGAGUCGCCCCUGUCAGCAACCAGCUCGACCAUGAGGCUGCCCUCUCCUUCCCCUGCACAGGAGCUCGCAGCUACCACCAUCGCCUCCUUGCUGUUGGCAUCUCGAGGCCCCUUGUGCUGUUUUGUGUUGGACGUCAAGGCCACCGAGUUCGACUACGAGGAUUCGCCAAGUACCAUUUGGAUGCACCAAGUUCGACCAUAUGGACCGCUAAGUUCAACUACAAUCCUCGAGACCAUCGUGUUGCACGCCAACAUGAGUACGCCCACGGACGGCUUACCUGCGGAUGGAUUUCGUCAAGUUCAACGAUGA